AUUGAACGCUGGCGGCAGGCUUAACACAUGCAAGUCGAGUGGAGAUGAGGUGCUUGCACCUUAUCUUAGCGGCGGACGGGUGAGUAAUGCUUAGGAAUCUGCCUGGUAGUGGGGGACAACGUUUCGAAAGGAACGCUAAUACCGCAUACGUCCUACGGGAGAAAGCAGGGGACCUUCGGGCCUUGCGCUAGCAGAUGAGCCUAGGUCGGAUUAGCUAGUUGGUGAGGUAAAGGCUAACCAAGGCGACGAUCCGUAACUGGUCUGAGAGGAUGAUCAGUCACACUGGAACUGAGACACGGUCCAGACUCCUACGGGAGGCAGCAGUGGGGAAUAUUGGACAAUGGGCGAAAGCCUGAUCCAGCCAUGCCGCGUGUGCGAAGAAGGUCUUCGGAUUGUAAAGCACUUUAAGUUGGGAGGAAGGGCAGUAAGUUAAUACCUUGCUGUUUUGACGUUACCGACAGAAUAAGCACCGGCUAACUUCGUGCCAGCCGCCGCAGUAAAAC
rnacentral:rRNA from 1 species